GGCCUUGUCUGUCUCCUAGCACUAAUCUGUGCUGUCCGAGCCCAAAUGGGGAGACCGCAAGGCUUCGCGUCUCCCCCCCACAGAGGGUGCCAGCCCCCGCUUUGGACACCAUGUCUCCCGCGCCCAGAACAGUCAUGGUACGUCAGAGCCCGGGAGGAUGAAGGCAGGGCUGGUGCUGCUGGGCCGGGAGCAGGUGGGGGAGGCAGCCGUCCAGCUCGUGCUGGCCCUCGCUGGGCCUUUGCUGACGGUACACGUGAACCUACAUGGUGAAGAUGAAAGCCUUUGAGCCGGGAACAGAGUCUGGAACAGAGCCGCUGCAGCACUGGGCUCUGGAGACCACCGAGCAGCGUCCGGCCGGCAGCAGUGGUAGCAGUGGCUCAUGGGCCGCGGCAGCACGGACACCCAGCCGGGAAACAGUGAGCCUCUGGUUCCGCUACGCACACGCAUGUCCCAGGGUCUCAGGGUGAAUCACAACAGUCCGGAGGACAGAACUGGCAUGCAGGUUCCCUGGCGUUUUACAGAAGUCCCCCAAAAUUUGGAGGAUCUACUGAGAAGGUACAAGUUGGUGAAUUUGCGCAUCAAGAUGGGGGUCGGGGCACCGUGCAUGUGCGCCAGAGGAUGGGACCCAGCAGCCCCGGGAAGAACCCCACGUGCCUGUGGAGUCAUGACUCGGGACACCGGCCGUGACCCUGUGCAUCCUGAGCGGAGAGGAGGAAACCCAAGAAUAAGAGGAAAGCUCCCAGAAACUCAGUGGAUGGGCAAGGACCAUAGGGGGCUGGUCAGGGAGGCCGUCUGUCACCCCGGGACUGGCCGCCAGCUCGAGCCCACGGGCCGGCCAUUACCCUUUCCAGGUUCAGGCACAGUUCCAGACUUCUCUUCUAGCGGCUGCUUUCCCGCAGACCCUUACUAGAAACGCCAGGGUUAGAGAAGAAAGACGGACACAGACCCCCGAGGCCUGAGAGGCAGGCGGUUGGGUGGUCGGCGCGUCGGCAGGCGUCUGGCCUCACGGUCGGAGCUUGUGAAGCCCGCAGGUCGGCCCGCCUUCCCCCGCCGCUGCUCUGCUGCAGCCACGACUUCGCAAGACCACCGGCCCUCCACCCCCGACACCCGGAAGCCCGCCGGCCCUGGCGCUGCUGCAGGGCCGGGAGCUGGGCCCCGGGGGAGCGGGUGGGGGCGCGCUCCGCCGGGAUCACGGGGGGGCCUGCACCUUUGCCGCCUGUGCGUCCGUGGUCCUGAGCGCGCCACGCAUUGUCGUCCAGCCCCAGGGACUUCCAGAAAGUACCUACAGCAGCCCCGCAAAAAGGAAAUUUCUGGGCUGGGCCAAGGGCUGUGAUGCCUGCCUGCUUGUCGGGGCUCCUGCCUCCCCUCAGCCUUCCCAGAGGAACGAGGGAGGAGCCGGCUGCUCCCGCGAGCUCGUGUCCGCCUUCUGUCCCAUGAGGGUCUCCUCUGGUGUUCCGGCUGCGCGUCCCCUGACACCUCGUUGCACCAGGAACAAGUUCUUGGCAAGCACUGAAAGACGACAGCUCCAUUUUUGACUUCUCCCGGGUGUGUUUGACCCACUUAUCAGUCCCCACAUCCACUUGCGUCUGCCAUCUGUGGUGGUCUAGUUCUGUUAUCACGUCCGCUUCGCGCUGACGGUUCUCGGUCGUCCGUGUUUAUUCUGGUCUGACAUCCACAGCUGGACUCACUCGCAGAGAAUAUGACCCCCCCAGGGGGAGACUGGGCCACUGAGGCUCCGAGCAGCGCCCGGUGGCAAGUGUGUGACAUCCCCGCGGGCUUCCUCAGGUCUAGGAACUCCUCUCAUCGUGUGGGCUCAAGCUUCGGCCUGCCUCCCAGUGAACUGCCUUGUUACCGUGGCCCCAGGACACUGACACAGGCUCCCCUCUCGGGCGCUGCAUCUGCGUGGCUGCAGGACGACCAGGGCCAGCCACCUGCAGGCUCAGCUGGGACCAGGGCCCGGAGGGUCUGCAGAAGCAGCCGCCGGCAGCCAUUCCAGUCAGAAUAAAUGCGUAAAAGCACUUUAUUCUGUGACUGUACUCGUGGGUUUAAAAAGGCACCUUUACUUCCCUUAACAGCUGAAUGCCCAGAGCACCUUUAGGAACUCCUGGGAGUCCUCUACUGAACCCUAGUGACCUCUGCUCUCGGCCUGGACCCGGCGACGUUUGUGCUAAAGGGUGAGGUGGGUCGGGGGAAGCAGCUGCCACACAGCCCACUUGAGAGCAUUCUCCCUCCCCGGCUACAGCCGAGCCGGUCGCCUUCUCCUCCCGUGCCGCUCGCCAUGCGGGGCUCAAGCCCCUGCUGCCCCCGGCGGACCCCCGGCUGAGUUCCCGUCAGCUGGAGCUGAGGCCAGGGCCCCCACCCAGCACACAGCUCAUUCUCUCUCCGGCCACAUGGGGGACGGCGGAAGGCCCUGUUUGGUCACCAGUCGGGGCUGGUUCUGUGGCUGGCUCCCCAGAGGGUGCUGCUGAGGGGGCUCGGGGACCCCUUUCCUCCCCACAGCCUGAGGCUCUGAGACCGUGGUCAGCAGGGGUUAGUGGGAUGGGGUGGGGGGCAGCCCUGGCCACCAGCCCUGCUGGGUCUGGGGACUCUGGGGACAUCACCUGCCAGAUGCACGUCACUUUGGUCUCCCGUCCCUGCUGGCUGUGCAGAUGGGACGCCCCGUCCGCAGCCUUCCCGGCACGGGGUGGCCAGAC
rnacentral:lncRNA from 1 species